rnacentral:rRNA from 1 species
CCUACGGGGGGCAGCAGUGAGGAAUAUUGGUCAAUGGACGCAAGUCUGAACCAGCCAUGCCGCGUGUAGGAAGACGGCUCUAUGAGUUGUAAACUGCUUUUGUACGAGGGUAAACGCAGAUACGCGUAUCUUUCUGAAUGUAUCGUACGAAUAAGGAUCGGCUAACCCCGUGCCAGCAGCCGCGGUAAUACGGAGGGUUCAAGCGUUAUCCGGAUUUAUUGGGUUUAAAGGGUGCGUAGGCGGUCGGAUAAGUUAGAGGUGAAAUCCCGAGGCUCAACUUCGGAAUUGCCUCUGAUACUGGUCGGCUAGAGAGUAGUUGCGGUAGGCGGAAUGUAUGGUGUAGCGGUGAAAUGCUUAGAGAUCAUACAGAACACCGAUUGCGAAGGCAGCUUACCAAGCUACGUCUGACGUUGAGGCACGAAAGCGUGGGGAGCAAACAGGAUUAGAUACCCCAGUAGUC